GACGAACGCUGGCGGCGUGCUUAACACAUGCAAGUCGAACGGUGAAGCGCUUGCCUUUUUGGUGGGUGUGGAUGAGUGGCGAACGGGUGAGUAACACGUGAGUAACCUGCCCUCUUCUUCUGGAUAACCUCAUGAAAGUGGGGCUAAUACGGGGUAUUCCGGGUCUGUCGCAUGGCGGGUUUGGGAAAGAUUGCGCCUUUGGGUGUUUUCGGUGGGGGAUGGGCUCGCGGCCUAUCAGCUUGUUGGUGGGGUGAUGGCCUACCAAGGCGGUGACGGGUAGCCGGCCUGAGAGGGUGGACGGCCACACUGGGACUGAGACACGGCCCAGACGCCUGCGGGAGGCAGCAGUGGGGAAUAUUGCACAAUGGGCGCAAGCCUGAUGCAGCGACGCCGCGUGAGGGAUGGAGGCCUUCGGGUUGUGAACCUCUUUCGCCAGUGAAGCAGGCCUGCUCCUGUGUGGGUGGGUUGACGGUAGCUGGAUAAGAAGCGCCGGCUAACUACGUG
rnacentral:rRNA from 1 species